CCGAAUUCUUCCACAACAGAGUUUGAUCCUGGCUCAGAUUGAACGCUGGCGGCAGGCCUAACACAUGCAAGUCGAGCGGAUGAUGGGAGCUUGCUCCCGGAUUCAGCGGCGGACGGGUGAGUAAUGCCUAGGAAUCUGCCUGGUAGUGGGGGACAACGUUUCGAAAGGAACGCUAAUACCGCAUACGUCCUACGGGAGAAAGCAGGGGACCUUCGGGCCUUGCGCUAUCAGAUGAGCCUAGGUCGGAUUAGCUAGUUGGUGGGGUAAAGGCCUACCAAGGCGACGAUCCGUAACUGGUCUGAGAGGAUGAUCAGUCACACUGGAACUGAGACACGGUCCAGACUCCUACGGGAGGCAGCAGUGGGGAAUAUUGGACAAUGGGCGAAAGCCUGAUCCAGCCAUGCCGCGUGUGUGAAGAAGGUCUUCGGAUUGUAAAGCACUUUAAGUUGGGAGGAAGGGCAGUAAGUUAAUACCUUGCUGUUUUGACGUUACCAACAGAAUAAGCACCGGCUAACUUCGUGCCAGCAGCCGCGGUAAUACGAAGGGUGCAAGCGUUAAUCGGAAUUACUGGGCGUAAAGCGCGCGUAGGUGGUUUGGUAAGAUGGAUGUGAAAUCUCCGGGCUCAACCUGGGAACUGCAUCCAUAACUGCCUGACUAGAGUACGGUAGAGGGUGGUGGAAUUUCC
rnacentral:rRNA from 1 species